rnacentral:rRNA from 1 species
CCUUGACAUGUCUGGAAUGCCGAAGAGAUUUGGCAGUGCUCGCAAGAGAACCGGAACACAGGUGCUGCAUGGCUGUCGUCAGCUCGUGUCGUGAGAUGUUGGGUUAAGUCCCGCAACGAGCGCAACCCUUGUCAUUAGUUGCUACGAAAGGGCACUCUAAUGAGACUGCCGGUGACAAACCGGAGGAAGGUGGGGAUGACGUCAAGUCCUCAUGGCCCUUAUGGGUAGGGCUUCACACGUCAUACAAUGGUCGGGACAGAGGGUCGCCAACCCGCGAGGGGGAGCCAAUCCCAGAAACCCGAUCGUAGUCCGGAUUGCAGGCUGCAACUCGCCUGCAUGAAGUCGGAAUCGCUAGUAAUCGCGGAUCAGCAUGUCGCGGUGAAUACGUUCCCGGGUCUU